rnacentral:rRNA from 1 species
ACGUAGGAGACGAGCGUUAUCCGGAAUUACUGGGCGUAAAGCGCGAGUAGGCGGAAGUGCAAGUCUUUUGUGAAAGCUCCUGGCUAAACUGGGAGAGGUCGAAAGAUACUGCACAUCUGGAGUAUGGAAGAGGGGUGCGGAAUUCCCGGUGUAGUGGUGAAAUGCGUAGAUAUCGGGAGGAACACCAGUGGCGAAGGCGGCAUCCUGGCCCUGUCCUGACGCUCAGGGGCGAAAGCGUGGGUAGCAAACCG